UUCAUUUGCUCCAUAUAAUUCUGCUUCACCUUUGCUUGCAGAUCUUUCUACUGGAAGUCAGCAGAAUGCCUCUGUCUGGAGAAAUGUGUGUUGACCAAAGGGAAAGAUUGGCUCAAGUGAGAACCGUGAUGGCUACCAGCAUCAGCUCCCUAGAUACUCUCAAAGCAAGGCCAGGCCCUAUUCAGGAAGCAGACGCAUUUUUCCUCAACUCUCCUAUUCAGGCAUUAACAGUGUGUAAAUGCAAUGUAAGCGCAACCUACAACAGCACGAAGUUAGCAGAAGGAAAAUGGACUCAGGAGCCUAGCAAAAGAAGGGAGCCUACAAAAAAAAGCAAACAAGGGAAAAAUAAAAGCUCUGGACAGUCUGUCCCCUGCUUGUUUGAUCUAGUCUCUUUACAAAACACAGAACCUGGCUCUUGCCUCCAAUGGACUCAUCAACCAAAUGAAGCAUAGACAUAGAGACAUAGAUUUUCAGGAAGAAGACAAACCGUUACUUAAAGGAAAUCAACACGAAACUCAGCUGGCCAUAUUAAACACUUAAUAAAUCCACCUGAGCUGCACUCA
rnacentral:lncRNA from 1 species